rnacentral:rRNA from 1 species
UACGGGGGGAGCAAGCGUUGUUCGGAUUUACUGGGCGUAAAGGGCGCGUAGGCGGUUCGCUAAGUUGAAUGUGAAAACUCUGGGCUUAACCCAGAGCCUGCAUUCAAUACUGGCGGGCUAGAGUUCUGGAGGGGAUAGCGGAAUUCCUGGUGUAGCGGUGAAAUGCGUAGAUAUCAGGAGGAACACCGGUGGCGAAGGCGGCUAUCUGGACAGAGUCUGACGCUGAGGCGCGAAAGCUAGGGGAGCAAACAGG